rnacentral:rRNA from 1 species
GAUGAACGCUGGCGGCGUGCCUAAUACAUGCAAGUCGAGCGAACGGACGAGAAGCUUGCUUCUCUGAUGUUAGCGGCGGACGGGUGAGUAACACGUGGAUAACCUACCUAUAAGACUGGGAUAACUUCGGGAAACCGGAGCUAAUACCGGAUAAUAUUUUGAACCGCAUGGUUCAAAAGUGAAAGACGGUCUUGCUGUCACUUAUAGAUGGAUCCGCGCUGCAUUAGCUAGUUGGUAAGGUAACGGCUUACCAAGGCAACGAUGCAUAGCCGACCUGAGAGGGUGAUCGGCCACCCUGGAACUGAGACACGGUCCAGACUCCGACGGGAGGCAGCAGUAGGGAAUCUUCCGCAAUGGGCGAAAGCCUGACGGAGCAACGCCGCGUGAGUGAUGAAGGUCUUCGGAUCGUAAAACUCUGUUAUUAGGGAAGAACAUAUGUGUAAGUAACUGUGCACAUCUUGACGGUACCUAAUCAGAAAGCCACGGCUAACUACGUG